AAUCGUACAGACUAAGAACGAGAAUAUCAUAUUAAGACUGGAUAAUAAGGACUUAGACCGAAGCAGGUCUAUUGGAAUUAUCGUAAAAUAAGAAUUUACCUGGAAAAUUAUUAUGCGAUAAAUUGAAUUUAAUCGGGACAAAAAUGGAAUAAGAUAAAAUAAGUUGGAAAGCCAGAGUUAAUAAUAUUCACGUCAAGGUCCGUGAAAUAUUAUUAAUAAAUGAUCGUCAAGUUUCGUAAGUGUACGAAAUCGUUUUAGAAGAAAGUUUGAUGGUUAGUUAAGAAUAAGGGUUAAAGUGCAAAUUAGCCACUUAAGGGCUAAAGUGGACUUUUAACCACAAACUUCCGAAGGAAGUUAUGUUUUACUCUAUUUUCUCAAGAUAAGAAAAUAAUAUCGAUAAAGUGGUUAUCGAUAGUUAUUAAUAUGAAAAUUGGACGAAAAAGUGAGAAAAAGUGCAAAUUAGCUCAAAAUGGAAAUUUGAGCGUUUUUGGCCAAAAUUGCCAAAAUAAAUUGUUGAAAAGUGAUAUUAUAAGAUGUGAUACUAAUAUUAUUUAUUUGGAAAAUAAAUAAUACAGAAUUCAUUGAGAAUCAAAUAAUUAAAGGAUUAGUGAACUAAAUUGGACGAAAGAAAAGUUAGAAAGUGAAGGUUAAGGAGGUGGCAACUUCAAGGACCUAAGUGGACCUUUAUCCCACUUAUUAUCAUCAAUUAUGAAUGAUUAUUUAUUCAUUCAAAGCAAAAUUUACAGCAAAGGAAAGGAAGAACCCGUAACUCCCUUACCCCAAAAUCAACAAAUCUUCUAAACCCAUAACUUUCUCAAUUUUGAUCCGAAUUUAGCGAUUCUCGCGGCCACGGAACGAGGAAACGAUUAUCUACAGAUCUAUGGCUUCAAUUUGAGGUGUUAUUGAGCUUGAUUAUGGAAUUUUGAUGAUGAAUUGGAGCCUAGAACUAUUCGGCAUAGAGACUUUAUUCAAGGUAAGACCCGACGAGACGAUUAUCGACAAGGCACGGAAUUUGAAAGAUCGUGAUAUAGCUUAGCCGUUUUAAAGAUUAUGGAUAGCAAGUGGGAUAGAAUGAUAUUAUUUGGAAAGUCAAGCUUCCGAAGUUUUAAUUCUCGGAAGUCAUUUGCACAAGAAGUGAAAGAAGGUUUUCAUUCUAGCAGUCCGCAGUAGUCUAGAUGUUUUUGUCUAUGUAUUUGACUAGCGCAUUUUAACUCUGAUAUUUUUGUAAAAUGGGGUCACAUGUAUUUUGAUAUAUGAAAAAAAUGAUUUGAUUUGCGAAAAAUUUACACAGGUUUUUAGGCUUGCUACGGGUUUCGGAGCUACCACUCCCAUUCCCUAGCGCCGGUCGCGGCUCGAGAAAUCGGGUCGUGACAAAGGUGGUAUCAGAGCAAUGGUUUAGAUUCAUAGGCCAUUGCCUGUAUACGAUUGAUGUCUGUAGUUCCUAGGUAUGAUGUCACUAGGUUAAGCUAAGAACUACUGCGGAUUAUAGGGAUUUCCAGUCAUGUCUUUUGAACGUUAUCAACGUUUUCAUCGAUUUUUCAAAAGUUUUACAAAAGCGUCCUCUCCCUUAUGUGCUAUUAGGAGUCGAGUUAGAUGUGUGCGAGCACAAAAUAUGUGUGUGUUUACUCGAGUAAGCAAUAUGCUUUCGAGUAUCUAUAGUCUACGAAGAGUUAUAUACUCUCGAGACUCAUAUGAUGUAUGAAUAUCGUUAUGGACAAUGAUUGAAUUAUAAAUUGGUUGGAUUGGAUAUUAUACGGGUGAUGUAAUUUAAAAAAUAAGAUAUGUAUGUUUGCAGCGCGAUCACUCAGGAGAGUGAUAUGCUCACAGGUAUGUAAGCCUGUGAUAAUUUAUACGAUACAUAAAAUUUAUAUAUUGUAAUCGAUUGUUAUGAAUAGAAAUAGUUUCUUAUGAUUCAAUGAUGAAAGUUUGCUAAGCCUAUGCUGGGCGAAAUGCUCUCAAGACUUAAAAAAGGCGACAUAGUCGGAUUUAUAGGAAAGAUAGAUAAGGGAAGGCAGCCAAAAGGGCUAGCACUAUUAGUUUGUCAUCGGAACAAGGAAGUUCAAACUAUGCAAGUUUCAUACACUCGUUAUGCGAUAGGAGAUGCUCGACUAGCUAUAAAGCUAGGACAUACAUAUGUCUUCGAUGUGGACAACAAGGUUACCACGUGAAGGAAUGCCCACAUCCCGAGUAGUUUGAUACCACGGGAAACACGAAACAAUCUUUUUCCUAAAAGACGGAGUUUGUCGCGACGACUUCUAGUUAGACACAACCAUAUAUCGAGAUAAACAUCAUGAAGUCCAAACACUAGAAGCUCGAAAGUGAUCAGACCUUUUGAGCUAGCCUAGUGUAAACACGAACGUUUAGGACGUGUCUUUCGAACGACGUCAGAAUCAGGCGAAAAGAGUUACAUCUUUACAUGUGUAAAGAAUGUAAAUAGUUGCGAACGAUAGAAAGAUAAUUAAUAGAUAGUGCAGAGUCUUAUGUCGAGAGCAACUUACGUAAACCCCGUUUUAUGAAAAUAAAAGUAUUUGAUCAAAAUGAAAUGUUUUGAAAAGACAUAAUUGUGCCCGGACACGAAUCAUAAAAACAUCGCAUUGACACGAAUAGAAUUGCAUCACUACAUCCAUAUUGCAUUCAUUAAUAGGCCAUGCAUCAUAUACAUUGUGCUUGUCUGGAAAUGAAAAGAGGAGUGUUAUUGCAACUCUUGUGAUGAGAGAAGUCAUCACACCGGCGCAUAAUUAUGACAUGAUUUGAGAAAUGAAAAGUAUUGUGAUUUUAAACGGAUGAGUUUUCCAACGUAAGUAAGCUCAGACAGUGACUCUGUAUAUAGAGGCAUAGAACAAGACUGAUCAUCUUGUUAGGCCUAUAUGAAAACAUACGGAUGUAUCACGACAAGUAUAUAGAACGACGAGUAGUGUAAUGCGAAUCACAAUGUAUCGAGAUUUGAAUUGCAAAUCUCUAAGGCUGUCUUGUAUAUUAAAUACAAGAACAACGACGCUACUUUACAAACAUGUAAAGUGAUAGCGGCCACGUUUAAACUCGAAGCACGUUUACCUCUAGGACGAGGAAAUCGAACAUAGAAGUUAGUUACGUCAGGGGGAUAAGAACCUUGCGAACAAACAUAUGUUGUUCAAAAAGGUCGAAUAAAAAGAAUUGAUUCAUAAUAAUUAUGAAUCAAGUAGUAAUAAGAUGGUUAUGAUGGUUAGCCUAAGAAGUUACUCGAUAAAUAUAUCGAGACACUUUCACCUAAAAAAAAAACAGUAUUGGAUGAAUGACUGUAUAAACCUAACUAUAAAGUCAACAGUUGGUGAAUAAUUAAUCAGAGUAUCGCAGCGGAAGUGUGGAAGGAAGCGAAUGAUAAGGUUUGAUUAAGGAUUGGUUAAGUGAUAUAAGAAGAUUAUGAAAAUUCGAGGAAGAAUUUUUAUAAGUGGGGAAGAUUGUAAUAACCCAAAUUAUUAAGGUAUUAUGUAAAGUGUCAUGAGGUCUAAUCGUACAGACUAAGAACGAGAAUAUCAGAUUAAGACUGGAUAAUAAGGACUUAGACCGAAGCAGGUCUAUUGGAAUUAUCGUAAAAUAAGAAUUUACCUGGAAAAUUAUUAUGCGAUAAAUUGAAUUUAAUCGGGACAAAAAUGGAAUAAGAUAAAAUAAGUUGGAAAGCCAGAGUUAAUAAUAUUCACGUCAAGGUCCGUGAAAUAUUAUUAAUAAAUGAUCGUCAAGUUUCGUAAGUGUACGAAAUCGUUUUAGAAGAAAGUUUGAUGGUUAGUUAAGAAUAAGGGUUAAAGUGCAAAUUAGCCACUUAAGGGCUAAAGUGGACUUUUAACCACAAACUUCCGAAGGAAGUUAUGUUUUACUCUAUUUUCUCAAGAUAAGAAAAUAAUAUCGAUAAAGUGGUUAUCGAUAGUUAUUAAUAUGAAAAUUGGACGAAAAAGUGAGAAAAAGUGCAAAUUAGCUCAAAAUGGAAAUUUGAGCGUUUUUGGCCAAAAUUGCCAAAAUAAAUUGUUGAAAAGUGAUAUUAUAAGAUGUGAUACUAAUAUUAUUUAUUUGGAAAAUAAAUAAUACAGAAUUCAUUGAGAAUCAAAUAAUUAAAGGAUUAGUGGACUAAAUUGGACGAAAGAAAAGUUAGAAAGUGAAGGUUAAGGAGGUGGCAACUUCAAGGACCUAAGUGGACCUUUAUCCCACUUAUUAUCAUCAAUUAUGAAUGAUUAUUUAUUCAUUCAAAGCAAAAUUUACAGCAAAGGAAAGGAAGAACCCGUAACUCCCUUACCCCAAAAUCAACAAAUCUUCUAAACCCAUAACUUUCUCAAUUUUGAUCCGAAUUUAGCGAUUCUCGCGGCCACGGAACGAGGAAACGAUUAUCUACAGAUCUAUGGCUUCAAUUUGAGGUGUUAUUGAGCUUGAUUAUGGAAUUUUGAUGAUGAAUUGGAGCCUAGAACUAUUCGGCAUAGAGACUUUAUUCAAGACCCGACGAGACGAUUAUCGACAAGGCACGGAAUUUGAAAGAUCGUGAUAUAGCUUAGCCGUUUUAAAGAUUAUGGAUAGCAAGUGGGAUAGAAUGAUAUUAUUUGGAAAGUCAAGCUUCCGAAGUUUUAAUUCUCGGAAGUCAUUUGCACAAGAAGUGAAAGAAGGUUUUCAUUCUAGCAGUCCGCAGUAGUCUAGAUGUUUUUGUCUAUGUAUUUGACUAGCGCAUUUUAACUCUGAUAUUUUUGUAAAAUGGGGUCACAUGUAUUUUGAUAUAUGAAAAAAAUGAUUUGAUUUGCGAAAAA